rnacentral:rRNA from 1 species
CACGUAGGGCGCAAGCGUUGUCCGGAAUUAUUGGGCGUAAAGAGCUCGUAGGCGGUCUGUUGCGUCCGCUGUGAAAACUCGGGGCUUAACCCCGAGCCUGCAGUGGAUACGGGCAGACUAGAGUGUGGUAGGGGAGACUGGAAUUCCUGGUGUAGCGGUGAAAUGCGCAGAUAUCAGGAGGAACACCGAUGGCGAAGGCAGGUCUCUGGGCCACUACUGACGCUGAGGUGCGAAAGCGUGGGGAGCAAACAGG